GCGGAUGCGCUGGUUAUUCCGGCGCGUGGUAGGGGAGCGUUCUGUAAGUCUGCGAAGGCGGUUCGAGAGGACUGCUGGAGAUAUCAGAAGUGCGAAUGCUGACAUGAGUAACGUUAAAGCAGGUGAAAAGCCUGCUCGCCGUAAGCCCAAGGAUUCCUGCUCUACGUUCAUCGGAGCAGGGUGAGUCGGCUCCUAAGGUCAGGCCGAAAGGCGUAGCCGAUGGGAAUCAGGUUAAUAUUCCUGAACCUGCGUCAGAUGCGAUGGGGGGACGGAGCAUGAAAGAUCAUCCGGGUGUUGGAAGUCCCGGUUGACGAGCGUAGGAGGUCUGCAGGCAAAUCCGCAGACGAUUCUCCAAGGCAAAGACACGUGCCGCCACGGCGGCGAAGUGAUCGGAAGUGCUUCCAAGAAAAGCCUCUAAGCACCAGUCUGACGCGGACCGUACCGCAAACCGACACUGGUGGGCGAGCUGAAUAUGCUCAGGCGCUUGAGAGAACUCGGGAGAAGGAACUCGGCAAAUUGACACCGUAACUUCGGAAGAAGGUGUGCCGUAGUAGCGUGAGAGGAGAGACUCCUCGAGCGUGAAUCGGUCUCAGAGAAUAGGUGGCUGCGACUGUUUAUUAAAAACACAGCACUGUGCAAACACGAAAGUGGACGUAUACGGUGUGACGCCUGCCCGGUGCCGGAAGGUUAAUUGAUGGGGUUAGCGGUAACGCGAAGCUCUUGAUCGAAGCCCCGGUAAACGGCGGCCGUAACUAUAACGGUCCUAAGGUAGCGAAAUUCCUUGUCGGGUAAGUUCCGACCUGCACGAAUGGCAUAACGAUGGCCACACUGUCUCCUCCCGAGACUCAGUGAAGUUGAAAUGUUUGUGAUGAUGCAAUCUACCCGCGGCUAGACGGAAAGACCCCAUGAACCUUUACUGCAGCUUUGCAUUGAACUGUGAACCGAUUUGUGUAGGAUAGGUGGGAGGCAGAGAAGAGGCCACGCCAGUGGUCUUGGAGCCGACCUUGAAAUACCACCCUGAUUUGUUUGCGGUUCUAACCACGGACAGUGAUCCUGUCUUGGGACCGUGCAUGGUAGGCAGUUUGACUGGGGCGGUCUCCUCCUAAAGGGUAACGGAGGAGUACGAAGGUACGCUAGGUACGGUCGGAAAUCGUGCUGAUAGUGCAAUGGCAAAAGCGUGCUUGACUGCGAGAGCAACAACUCGAGCAGAUGCGAAAGCAGGUCAUAGUGAUCCGGUGGCUCUGAAUGGAAGGGCCAUCGCUCAAAGGAUAAAAGGUACUCCGGGGAUAACAGGCUGAUACCGCCCAAGAGUUCAUAUCGACGGCGGUGUUUGGCACCUCGAUGUCGGCUCAUCUCAUCCUGGGGCUGUAGUCGGUCCCAAGGGUAUGGCUGUUCGCCAUUUAAAGUGGUACGCGAGCUGGGUUUAGAACGUCGUGAGACAGUUCGGUCCCUAUCUGCCGUGGGCGUUGGAAGAUUGACGGGGGCUGCUCCUAGUACGAGAGGACCGGAGUGGACGCACCUCUGGUGUACCGGUUGUCACGCCAGUGGCAUUGCCGGGUAGCUAAGUGCGGAAGAGAUAACCGCUGAAAGCAUCUAAGCGGGAAACUUGCCUGAAGAUGAGUCUUCCCGGAGGUUGAACCUCCCUCAAGAGUCGUCCGAGACCAGGACGUCGAUAGGUCAGGUGUGUAAGCGCUGUAAGGCGUUGAGCUAACUGAUACUAAUUGCUCGUGAGGCUUGAUC
rnacentral:rRNA from 1 species